UACGUAGGCAGCAAGCGUUGUUCGGAGUUACUGGGCGUAAAGGGUGCGUAGGUGGUUGUUUAAGUCUGCUGUGAAAGCCCCGGGCUCAACCUGGGAAUGGCAGUGGAUACUGGACAGCUAGAGUGCGGUAGAGGGUAGUGGAAUUCCCGGUGUAGCAGUGAAAUGCGUAGAGAUCGGGAGGAACACCAGUGGCGAAGGCGGGUACCUGGACCAGCACUGACACUGAAGCACGAAAGCGUGGGGAGCAAACAGG
rnacentral:rRNA from 1 species